rnacentral:rRNA from 1 species
UACGAAGGGUGCAAACGUUGCUCGGAAUUAUUGGGCGUAAAGCGCACGUAGGCGGCUUUGCAAGUCGGAUGUGAAAUCCCUCGACUCAACCAAGGAAGUGCAUCCGAAACUGCAGAGCUUGAGUACCAAAGAGGAUCGCGGAAUUCCCGGUGUAGAGGUGAAAUUCGUAGAUAUCGGGAGGAACACCAGUGGCGAAGGCGGCGAUCUGGGUGGAUACUGACGCUGAGGUGCGAAAGCGUGGGGAGCAAACAGG